rnacentral:lncRNA from 1 species
AGGAGUGUCAUUCACUGAACUGUAUUUACCAUCCAAAUUUGUCACCGCAACAUAGUUUUCAGUUUUCUUUGUUGGAUGUCGCAACAGGAAACAUGCAUAUAUAACAUAUUAUUUAUCAUAAUUCUAUAAAGUUAAAACAUAUAAACACACAUACAAAGAUACAAAGUAUCAUAUGUAAAAUUCGCUAGCAGCUUAAUAUUGUACCGAAAACCAUCAAAUUUUAUGCAAGGCCAAAUCAACAAGAAUUUCAAAAAUAAAACCAGACUCAUAACUUAUGAGUCUGAUUAGUCAUAACGUUAGUAUACCAUCUACAAAUCACCCCACCUCUGUUCUGCUUGUCCAUUGCAAGAAUUAUAUCAAAUUCUUUAAAAUUAGAGGGCCUUAUCGGCUUUGAUAAGGAGGUUAUCUGAAUUCCACGCCAUUUAAAGGCGGCCCUCAUUCUUGGGUUAGCUUCAUUACCCUUUAAAAAAAAUUAAAAACACCAAUUUCAAAGAAAACCCAAUAUUUAUCCACAGCCACCCACUACUAAGUAAUUUGGGGAACACAUUUUUAUCAAAAUAGAAGAAAAAUACAACACACAAAUGGGUAUCUAUAAUAUACCUCAUGUUAAUCGAUGGUGCCAGCAGAAUCGAUGAUAAAGUUGGAAUGAAGACCCCUUUUCUUAACCAAGUCUAUGUAUACACCCUCAGCAGCUGGGCUUCUACAGAUGUUACCCAGGCAUACAGUUGGCCUUCUAUAGAUGUUACCCAGGCAUACAGCUAGGGCUUCUAUAGAUGUUCAUAGGGUUAUAUUUAGGGAAAAAUUGGGGGAAUAUUGAAUUGGGAAAAUGUACCAAGCUUUAGAGAGACAGAAGCAGAGGGACGGCGACGGUGGAAGAGAGGGACGACGACGGGGAAGAGAAGCCACGACGCCGGCGAGAUCCUUACUGGCGACGACGAGGAAGAAAGUAAAACCACGGGAGAGAAACAAAGAAAUAAAAUCGAGAUUUCAGAUCUGGCCUGGAGACUGGGAGCGGG